rnacentral:rRNA from 1 species
CAGUCGCCACGGGAAUACGUAGGGUGCAAGCGUUAAUCGGAAUUACUGGGCGUAAAGCGUGCGCAGGCGGUUUCGUAAGACAGAUGUGAAAUCCCCGGGCUUAACCUGGGAACUGCAUUUGUGACUGCGAGGCUAGAGUGUGUCAGAGGGGGGUGGAAUUCCACGUGUAGCAGUGAAAUGCGUAGAUAUGUGGAGGAACACCGAUGGCGAAGGCAGCCCCCUGGGAUAACACUGACGCUCAUGCACGAAAGCGUGGGGAGCAAACAGGAUUAGAUACCCGUGUAGUCCCUGUCUCUUAUAC